CCGAGGGAGACCAGGAAGAUCUGCAUGGUGGGAAGGACCUGAUGAUACAGAGGUCUGUAGGCCAUGGGAAUGGGUUUGGAAUUUUAUUCAAAGAGCUAUGGGAAGUGACUAGAAGGUUUAAAGUUGGGGAAGAGGUUUUGUGUUUCUGUUAUAUUUGUGUUUUAUACAAAUUACUCUGGUUGCUGUGUUGAUAGGACAGCAGAAGGGUAGGAGCAGGGACACCAGUUAAGUUAUUGCAAUGGUUAAGGUGAGAGGUGGUGGCUGGGCCUAGGCCUUUUUGGAGUGAACAAGCUAUUUGCUUGGCUUCCAUGAUCCUUCUCCCUCCACUUUCACAGAUCCCUGGGAGAAAUGCCCGGCCGCCAUCUUGGGUCAUCGAU
rnacentral:misc_RNA from 1 species